rnacentral:rRNA from 1 species
UACGAAGGGGGCUAGCGUUGCUCGGAAUUGCUGGGCGUAAAGCGCACGUAGGCGGCUUUCUAAGUCGGGGGUGAAAUCCUGGAGCUCAACUCCAGAACUGCCUUCGAUACUGGAGAGCUCGAGUCCGGGAGAGGUGAGUGGAACUGCGAGUGUAGAGGUGAAAUUCGUAGAUAUUCGCAAGAGCACCAGUGGCGAAGGCGGCUCACUGGCCCGGUACUGACGCUGAGGUGCGAAAGCGUGGGGAGCAAACAGG